UACAGAGGGUGCAAGCGUUAAUCGGAAUUACUGGGCGUAAAGCGCGCGUAGGUGGUCUUUUAAGUCCGACUGUGAAAUCCCGGGGCUCAACCCCGUGGGCUGCAGGGGAUACUGGGAGACUGGAGACACGUAGAGGCAAGCGGAAUUCCGGGUGUAGCGGUGGAAUGCGUAGAGAUCCGGAAGAACACCGGAGGCGAAGGCGGCUUGCUGGGCGUGAUCUGACGCUGAGGCGCGAAAGCGUGGGGAGCGAACAGG
rnacentral:rRNA from 1 species